GUGCGAACGAGUUCUCGUUGAUGAUCGGUGCUUGCACCGAGAUUCAACAUGGAACGAGUGCCGGACGGGUGAGUAACACGUGGGUAACCUGCCCUUAAGUGCGGGAUAACAUUUGGAAACAGAUGCUAAUACCGCAUAGAUCCAAGAACCGCAUGGUUCUUGGCUGAAAGAUGGCGUAAGCUAUCGCUUUUGGAUGGACCCGCGGCGUAUUAGCUAGUUGGUGAGGUAAUGGCUCACCAAGGCGAUGAUACGUAGCCGAACUGAGAGGUUGAUCGGCCACAUUGGGACUGAGACACGGCCCAAACUCCUACGGGAGGCAGCAGUAGGGAAUCUUCCACAAUGGACGCAAGUCUGAUGGAGCAACGCCGCGUGAGUGAAGAAGGCUUUCGGGUCGUAAAACUCUGUUGUUGGAGAAGAAUGGUCGGCAGAGUAACUGUUGUCGGCGUGACGGUAUCCAACCAGAAAGCCACGGCUAACUACGUGCCAGCAGCCGCGGUAAUACGUAGGUGGCAAGCGUUAUCCGGAUUUAUUGGGCGUAAAGCGAGCGCAGGCGGUUUUUUAAGUCUGAUGUGAAAGCCCUCGGCUUAUCCGAGGAAGCGCAUCGUAAACUGGGAAACUUGAGUGCAGAAGAGGACAGUGGAUCUCCAUGUGUAGCGGUGAAAUGCGUAGAUAUAUGGAAGAACACCAGUGGCGAAGGCGGCUGUCUGGUCUGUAACUGACGCUGAGGCUCGAAAGCAUGGGUAGCGAACAGGAUUAGAUACCCUGGUAGUCCAUGCCGUAAACGAUGAAUGCUAGGUGUUGGAGGGUUUCCGCCCUUCAGUGCCGCAGCUAACGCAUUAAGCAUUCCGCCUGGGGAGUACGACCGCAAGGUUGAAACUCAAAGGAAUUGACGGGGGCCCGCACAAGCGGUGGAGCAUGUGGUUUAAUUCGAAGCAACGCGAAGAACCUUACCAGGUGGGUGGCGUCUUUUGAUCACCUGAGAGAUCAGGUUUCCCCUUCGGGGGCAAAAUGACAGGUGGUGCAUGGUUGUCGUCAGCUCGUGUCGUGAGAUGUUGGGUUAAGUCCCGCAACGAGCGCAACCCUUAUGACUAGUUGCCAGCAUUUAGUUGGGCACUCUAGUAAGACUGCCGGUGACAAACCGGAGGAAGGUGGGGAUGACGUCAAAUCAUCAUGCCCCUUAUGACCUGGGCUACACACGUGCUACAAUGGAUGGUACAACGAGUUGCGAGACCGCGAGGUCAAGCUAAUCUCUUAAACCCUUUCUCAGUUCUUUCUGUAGGCUGCAACUCGCCUCCACGAAGUCGGAAUC
rnacentral:rRNA from 1 species